CUGAACUCGAGUAUUUUGGGCCCUAAGAAGGAAGGACAAAGAUCCCUGGAGAACUCUCCUGUGGUGUCCUUGUUUUGAGUAGCAAUGGAGGGAACAUCUGGAAGCCUGAAUGGAGAAGGAGGGCUGAUCAGCCAUCAGCUCAGCUGGGGCAGUGUUCCCUGACCUGUCAGCUCUUCCCCUUCAGACCUCAGAGGAUAGAGAGGGUCAGCUGGCAACCUCCACUGAGCCUGUGAACCAGUCCCAGGAGCUUCUCCAGCAGGUGUUUGUCCUUAGGCGGAGAUGUUUCCUGGAUGCCUCACUCCUUUGCCUCUCAAGGAUAAAUGCCCCGAUGACAGAAACCCCCAGCCCCUGCCCAGUGACAGGAAGUGCUGACUUCAACACUGGGUCCUGCCAUUUACCAGAGAGCCCUUGAAGAAAAAAUCAAGAGGAGAAAGGCCCAAAAGAAAGAAAACACGGUGGGCCAGAAAAAUUUCAUCAGGCAGAUUGCUUCAAGAUGAAGACCAACCAGAGAAAAUAUUCCCAGGAGUUAAAAUACGCAGCACGUUUUAGAUACCAAUGACGGCGAUUUGCUUUCUCUUCAUUUCUGUCUUCACAUUGCUGACAACUCCCCUCAUUGUCUUAAAUAUGGAUUGCCAAAGUCAAUUAAAUACGCAAGAGGAACAUUGUACAUUUUGGAGGAAAGUAAUUAUUGUUACACCUUAGAGCAGCUUAAUGAAUACAUUAAUAAACGAUCCUUCGCCAUGUUUUUCUUUUCAUAGCCAUCAAAAUCUUUAUAAAACCUACAGCACAAUACAUAACAUCUCGUUACAAGAUUUGC
rnacentral:lncRNA from 1 species